rnacentral:tRNA from 1 species
GAGGAUGUAGCUCAAAUGGUAGAGCACAUGCCUAGCAUGCACAAGGUCCUGAGUUCAAUCCCCAGUGCCUCCU